rnacentral:rRNA from 1 species
AUUGAACGCUGGCGGUAUGCUUUACACAUGCAAGUCGAACGGCAGCACGGACUUCGGUCUGGUGGCGAGUGGCGAACGGGUGAGUAAUGUAUCGGAACGUGCCCAGUCGUGGGGGACAACGUAGUGAAAAUUACGCUAAUACCGCAUACGAUCUAUGGAUGAAAGCGGGGGAUCGCAAGACCUCGCGCGAUUGGAGCGGCAGAUAUCAGAUUAGGUAGUUGGUGGGGUAAAGGCCCACCAAGCCAACGAUCUGUAGCUGGUCUGAGAGGAAGACCAGCCACACUGGAACUGAGACACGGUCCAGACUCCUACGGGAGGCAGCAGUGGGGAAUUUUGGACAAUGGGCGAAAGCCUGAUCCAGCCAUUCCGCGUGCAGGAUGAAGGCCCUCGGGUUGUAAACUGCUUUUGUACAGAACGAAAAGGUUUCUACUAAUACUAGGAGCUCAUGACGGUACUGUAAGAAUAAGCACCGGCUAACUACGUGCCAGCCGCCGCAGUAA